GAUGAACGCUGGCGGCGGGCCUAAUACAUGCAAGUCGAGCGAAGCGGGGACGGGUGAGUAACACGUGGAUAACCUCCUAUAAGACUGGGAUAACUUCGGGGAACCGGAGCUAAUCCGGAUACUUAUCGAUGGAUCCGCUCUGCAUUAGCUAGUGGGUAAGGUAACGGCUUACCCAGGCCACGAUCCAUAGCCGACCUGGGAGGGUGAUCGGCCACACUGGAACUGAGACACGGUCCAGACUCCUACGGGAGGCAGCAGUAGGGAAUCUUCCGCAAUGGGCGAAAGCCUGACAGAGCCACGCCGCGUGUGUGAUGAAGGUCUUCGGAUCGUAAAGCUCUGUUAGUAGGGAAGCGGUACCUACACAGAAAGCCACGGCUAACUCCGUGCCAGCAGCCGCGGUAAUAC
rnacentral:rRNA from 1 species